rnacentral:lncRNA from 1 species
CUCAAGACCUGGAAGGUUCCUUUUAUUCCCCCGGGGUGUUAGCACACUCCUAGAAAUAUCUCAGGGCUGAAGGAAGAGAUGACGUAGCAUAGCCGCUCUCCGCAAGCAGGGAUGUGUUGGAGAAAUGGACCACCCAGCUGUAUGACGGAAAGAUAACCCUUCACUU